rnacentral:rRNA from 1 species
CCUACGGGUGGCAGCAGUGGGGAAUAUUGGGCAAUGGGCGCAAGCCUGACCCAGCAACGCCGCGUGAGGGCAGCAGGCUUUCGGGUUGUUAACUUCUUUUGUCAGGGAAGAGUAGAAGACGGUACCUGACGAAUAAGCAACGGCUAACUACGUGACAGCCGCCGCGGUAAGACGUAGGUGGCAAGCGUUGUCCGGAUGUACUGGGUGUAAAGGGCGUGUAGCCGGGUUGACAAGUCAGAUGUGAAAUCCUUCGGCUUAACCGCAGAAAGGCAUUUGAAACUGUUGGUCUUGAGUACUGGAGGGGCGGACGGAAUUCCUGGUGUAGCGGUGAAAUGCGUAGAUAUUAGGAGGAACACCAGUGGCGAAGGCGGUCUGCUGGACAGCAACUGACGGUGAGGCGCGAAAGCGUGGGGAGCAAACAGGAUUAGAUACCCCAGUAGUC